GAUGAACGCUGGCGGCGUGCCUAAUACAUGCAAGUCGAGCGAACAGACGAGGAGCUUGCUCCUCUGACGUUAGCGGCGGACGGGUGAGUAACACGUGGAUAACCUACCUAUAAGACUGGGAUAACUUCGGGAAACCGGAGCUAAUACCGGAUAAUAUAUUGAACCGCAUGGUUCAAUAGUGAAAGACGGUUUUGCUGUCACUUAUAGAUGGAUCCGCGCCGCAUUAGCUAGUUGGUAAGGUAACGGCUUAUCAAGGGAACGAUGCGUAGCCGACCUGAGAGGGUGAUAGGCGACAUGGGAACGUGGCCACGGACAAGACGACUACGGUAGGCAGCAGUAGGGAACCGGACGCAAUGGGCGAAAGCAUGACGGAGCAACGCCGAGCGAGUGAUGAAGGUCUUCGGAGCGGAAUACUCUGUUAUGAGGGAAAAACAAAUGUGUAAGUAACUAUGCACGGCGUGACGGUACCUAAUCAGAAAGCCACGGCUAACUACGUG
rnacentral:rRNA from 1 species